rnacentral:tRNA from 7 species
GGGCCUGUGGCGCAGUUUUGGUAGCGUGCCUGACUGGCAGUCAGGAGGUCAGGGGUUCGAGCCCCCUCAGGUCCACCA